UACGUAGGGUGCGAGCGUUGUCCGGAAUUAUUGGGCGUAAAGAGCUUGUAGGCGGUCUGUCGCGUCUGCUGUGAAAAUCCGGGGCUCAACCCCGGACUUGCAGUGGGUACGGGCAGACUAGAGUCCGGCAGGGGAGACUGGAAUUCCUGGUGUAGCGGUGAAAUGCGCAGAUAUCAGGAGGAACACCGGUGGCGAAGGCGGGUCUCUGGGCCGGAACUGACGCUAAGGAGCGAAAGCGUGGGGAGCGAACAGG
rnacentral:rRNA from 1 species